rnacentral:rRNA from 1 species
UAGGGAAUAUUAGAAAUGGACGAAAGUCUGAUCUAGCAACACCGCGUGUGCGAAGAAGGCCUUCGGGUUGUAAAGCACUUUUUGGAAGGAUUAGGAAGGACGGUACUCUCAGAAUAAGUCUCGGCUAACUACGUGCCAGCAGCCGCGGUAACACGUAGGAGGCAAACGUUAUCCGGAUUUACUGGGCGUAAAGCGCGUGUAGGUGGUUUGGUAAGUAUAGCGUGAAAGCUCCUGGCUCAACUGGGAGAGGUCGUUCUAAACUGCCGGACUAGAGGAUGGUAGAGGGAGGUGGAAUUCCGGGUGUAGCGGUGGAAUGCGCAGAUAUCCGGAGGAACACCAGUGGCGAAAACGGCCUCCUGGACCACUCCUGACACUCAGACGCGAAAGCUAGGGUAGCAAACG